ensembl:lncRNA
AUAUAAAAUGAAUAUAUGUAUAGAUAUAUGUUGGGGAAGAAGAAUAAGAUGAAGAGAUUAGAAUAUCAUCACGCUACUUCCAGUCCUGCAUAUUUUCAUCCUUUUCAUUUCUCUACUUGAUGACUAUCAAUCGGUCGGCCUUGAAUCCAGGCCUCAUGUUCUCCAAGUGACCAGGAAUAGGAGAUUUAAAAAUGAUUAUUAUUAUUAUUUUUUUUUAAAAUAGGUUCUGUCUGGUUAACCAGAAUCUUGUUGUUGAUAUCGAAGGUCAAUGUGCGGUGUAUUCCUUAUGAAAAAAAAACAAAAAAAAACGAAAGAAAAGGAAAAAAAAGGUGUGAAAUGCAUGGACAUGCAUGUACUGAAUAGAUUAAGAUUAGAUCAUUAGAUUGAAAUUAUUUUAGGGGCCAAAAUAAAUAUCACCAGAAGCAGAAAUGAAGAAACUAGCCAGAUCCAUUACAUGUUUAUUUAUUUAUUUUAUUUUCUGAAAACGAUGCUUAGUACAGGUCUCGAAUCACGUUUUUUUCUUUUCUUUUUUCUUUCUUUUAAAUGACAAACUACACAUUUCGUGCGAAGUAUCAUCGUCGUGAUCCGAUCUCCUCGUUCUCAGACGACUUGGGAAAUAGUGGCCUUUAAACUUCGUAUCACUGCCUGUUAAAAAAGAAAAAGAAAAAAAAAGUGCUGAAUUGUAAUCGGACCCUUCUUCCUGCUCGUUUCCUCCUCCCUAAAGCACGGCCUCGUGUCAGUCUGACGUCCCGCGUUACCAUCACGGUGGAAGUUUACGGACUCUUACCCUGAGGUGCAGGCGGAUUGGGACGGAGCCGGCGGUCGUGCGGUGUGAAGUCCCGGGGCUCGGAGAGACCCCGGGGUUUAAUUUGUGCCUUCAAGCUUUCAAGUAUCGCAAGCGAAUCUCGUUCCAAGAGCAGAACUGCAUCCUGCGUACGUUCGUACGUACACGCGUACGAGGAUCAUAUUCGAUCAUCUCAGGGGUAUAUUUGCUGUUGUCCUGGUGUCAAUUUUUUUUUUUUUAUUAUUAUUAUUCUGUUCUGGCAGUUCGUCAUUUUUUUCAUUCAGCAGUUUGUUUGUAUCGUACAACAGCCUGUAUUAUAGUCCGGGUUUUUUUUGUGUUUCUUUUACAUAUUUUUUUUUUUUUAUUUAUGUCUGUACAAUUUCAGCAGUAUUUGAAAUCCGUGUGUCGGUACGGCCGAAGAAGAAAACAAAACGUUUGAAUUUGAUAAGCUAACUAAAUCACCUGACUGACUUUGAUUUCAUGCCACUUCUGGAGACAUGUUACUUUGCUGUCGAGCUUUUGGGAGUUAAAGAAGAAUGUCUAUCAACAAUUAUGUUUUUUUUUUUGUUGUUGUUGUUGUUUGUUUGUUUUUAAACCAGAAUGCCUGUUGCUGACUGAUUUUGUCCGGGUUUCCUCUUACCAUUAGCGCGCCGAAACUACAUUUUGGGUUGUACGUGAAACCUGCUAACUCGGGAUGUUAUUCAGUUCUAAUAAUGACCAGAACAUAUUAAUAGCAUUCAUUAAAUUGGAGAGGCUGUGUUCCAAUACGCUUUCUUAAACACGCCCCUGUCAGCUUCCCUUCACCUUUUAGGGGCAAUCCUUUAAAUCUAGUCCUGCUUAGACAGAAAGCUACACACUCGUGUAACACGUAGGGAAUGAAGACACUCGGCGCUGGACACAACCGCGUGUCCAGGACUCUUUUAUUCCUCUUAUACCGCAGCGAUUCGGAAAUGUUCUCAUUUCUUAACGAGCGGCGCGUUAUACUGUACGUUUAAUCCGUUCUCCCUGUUAACACACGUUCUAGCAGCUGUAAACAGUCGUUCCUCCGCCAGCCGCGUAGCCCACGCGGAUCGUCACGUUAACCAAGAACGCAAAACUUACCGACUGUUACAAAGCGCCGACACUGGAGAUUCCUUCUGUAAACGUCUAACGAGCGUCUUCAGAAAACUGUUGCACGCCGUUCUGUCAAAUAACGACGUUUUUACUUCGUUAUUAGUCUCCGCUCACGUGGCGCCUGGUGUGGUGUCCCGCGCAUCAACAUCCACGUGCGAUCGGUCUCGCGGCGCCGUGGCGUAUUGAAUCAUUCACUUUCUGACGAAUCAGAAGCCAGAAUUCGGCUGCACUGAAUUUAUCAACCUCGAGCGAUCAAGUCGACCAGGGCGUGUUAAAGCUGUAUCGGAACGCAGGUUUAGACAACGCGACGACGAGUCAUCACGACACGACAAAUCAAAAACGGCAGCCAUUUUGAUUUGAUUUGCGCAUCAGCAACAGGCAGAGAAAAAGACGAAUGUGACGAGUACGGAAGUCGUUUUGUAAUCCGCUCGCGAUCACUCGGAGCAGUUCCUCACAAUGCCUUCUCGUUCAGUUUUAAACUCGUGCAGUGACGAAAAGAAAUAAAAAUAAAACACGAAUGUGGGAGGAAAUAUUUAUAGAUCUACACAUAGCAUUUUUACCCGAUGUUGACUGCUAUUAUGAAUAUUAUGGGAUAUCACAAAAGUCACUAUAAAGCGGUGUCUGUAUAUUAUGAUCGUUUCUGAAACGAAACUCUUGCAUGGACGGACGGCGUCAGGGAAAGAGGAGGCGCGCGCGCGAGGGCGGGAAGGGGCGCGCGGUCGAGUUGCUGUGAUGAUGAUGAUGGGAAUGCAGCUGUAUUUCAUAUAUAAUGGUUUCUCAUCUGUGCCUGAUGUUUUUGUGAUUGAGUAAUGGUCUUUAUACCUGCCGCCUGCAUUAGUGUCAUAGUAAACAUGACUAUUAUUCUGAAACCGCUGCUCAGUGUGUGUGUUUUGGAGAGAGGGUGUGGUGACUGAAUAUUUCAAAUACAGCAAACAAACAAAUAAAUAAAUGGUGCCAAAAGCAGAUAAUAAUGACAACUACAAAAAUGACUGAGCGGGAACUUUGUUGUUGUUGUUGCUGUUAAAAAUGUAAAUUUACUACAGGUAAUUGCAGGUCAGUAGUGUAAAAGUAAUUUUAAAAUUUUUAUUAAUCUUAUGCAGAUGGGAUGGUCUGGGAUUUAAAGGUGCAAUGGUUAAUUAGUUUGAAUAAUCCUGCACUGUUCUCCACGUGUCCGUGUGAGUUUCCUCCUAAAGAUGUUCCCGUAGGUGGACGGUCUUAAGGUCACGACCAAAGAUAAAGCUCUUACUGAAGAUGAAGGAAUGAAUUUCUUCUCCGCCAAUUGUAUGUAAAAACAAAACAAAGACACUUACACAUUUGUUGCCAGUUUAUUUGUAACAAAACAAAACCAAAAAAACGUUCCACAAAUACCCCUGUAUUCUCACACGACAUUAUUAUUAUUAUUUUUUUCCCCUCACGACAAAAGUAAGAAAAUAAAAAAGCAUAAGAUUAUUUCUCUAAAAUAUUUACAUUUACUACAAAAUAAGAGGUAAAUAACAGAAGACAGGCCUCACUUGUGCUCACGUCGACUGGAUGGAUCGAAUCGCAGAAACUCUCACAUCAACUUCUUACAAAGUCAAAAAGAAAAAGCAAUAAAAAUGGAUAUUUGGUCAUUAUCACAUGAUGAAACAAACUGCGGAAGUGAUUUAUCUCUACACGAAACAUCAAAAAGGUCCGUGUAUGGACUGUUCACGUUCCUGGCACUGCAUGGAAGAUGGGGUGGGGAGGGGGGGAGGGGGGAGGGGGGUGUUAAUCUAAGCAGGAGGAGAUUAGAAAUAUGCAAAUAAAAUCUGUGGAAUUGACACGUUAGGCUGAUGUUUAGAGUUUUUGCAAUUUCAUUUCAUUUUUUUUUUUGUUUGUUUGUUUGUUUUUUUUAAAGUUUAAUAAUGGCAAACAUGGAGCCGGGAAAAAAAAAAAAAAAAUUCAACUCAUCUGGAGCUUUGGCUCUUGGUGAAAAGUUGCGUCCUUGAGAAAACUUGGUCCUUGUCCUGUGGUUCAGUUACGACGCGGGAGAGGACUACAAUCACGCCAUCUCGUCUUCAGGAAAACAUUGAACACUGAACACUACGAAGUGUAUAUUCUCCUUAAGCUUUAACACCACGAAAGAUACUCGUAUAUCGUAACAUGCACACACUGACUGUGGUCACCACGGCGAUGACGGAAACGCUCCGUGCUCGAGGAUGAGGAACGGGUAGUGCAUAGAGCGAGAGUGUGUCGUUUCCCCACAGUGUGAAUUAACACCGAGGCUGCUGUCGACACACACACACACACACACACACACACACACACACACACACACACACACACAAAGACCAUUAACACAUCUCAACAGCUGAUUACGUUCCUGGGAUGAGGGCGUGUGCUUUUCAUGGCAAAAAAUAAGCUCGAGAUUCAUUCAAUCGAACGCGCUGGGUGUGGAUCGACCGCCGCAUGUUUGUGGCUCGAGUGUUGAAGUGGUGGUGGGUUGUGUCUUUUUUUUUUCCUUCCUUUUUUACAUUUAUAGUGCAAAUUAUAUUAUAAUAUAAUAUAGAAUAACUUACAUAUAUCCAGGAACCCUGCAUGUGAAUCCUCAAAAAGGUGAAGAUGUCUAUACGGACAAAGCAGCACCUCAUCACUAGCUAAAGUUUUAAACACCGCAUGCUCCCCAAGAGGCAAGAGAAGAUCAUUACAAUAAACUAAUAAUAAUAAUAAUAAUAAUAAUAAUAAUAAUAAUAGAGAGCGAGAGAGAUUUAGUGUAACAUUUAGUAAACUGAUACAAUUCCCUUUGAUGACUAAUAAUAUAAAAUAUGAACGUUCUCAAAAUUCAUAAAUUAGGUCAAAUACAGUCCAAAAUGUGCAUGCAUACACUUUAUGUAGUAAUAAUUCCUAAAGGCCUUGGCAGCUUCAAUUUGGAUCGAUUAAUAUGGCUUUGUAAAAAAUCGUGACUUGUGUUCUGCGAGAUAGACGCUCAUUGUGUACAUAUACAUACAUUUUAAUAUCACUUGCAUU